rnacentral:rRNA from 1 species
CCUACGGGAGGCAGCAGUGAGGAAUAUUGGUCAAUGGACGAGAGUCUGAACCAGCCAAGUAGCGUGAAGGAUGACUGCCCUAUGGGUUGUAAACCUCUUUUAUAUGGGAACAAAACAGGGUACGCAUACCCUCUUGUAUGUACCAUAAGAAUAAGGAUCGGCUAACUCCGUGCCAGCAGCCGCGGUAAUACGGAGGAUCCGAGCGUUAUCCGGAUUUAUUGGGUUUAAAGGGAGCGUAGGUGGAUUGUUAAGUCAGUUGUGAAAGUUUGGGGCUCAACCGUAGAAUUGCAGUUGAAACUGGCAGUCUUGAGUAGGGUAGAGGUGGGCGGAAUGCGUGGUGUAGCGGUGAAAUGCAUAGAUAUCACGAAGAACGCCGAUUGCGAAGGCAGCUCACUGGACUGCAACUGACGCUGAGGCUCGAAAGUGUGGGUAUCGAACAGGAUUAGAUACCCGAGUAGUC